rnacentral:rRNA from 1 species
GACGAACGCUGGCGGCGUGCCUAAUACAUGCAAGUUGAGCGCUGAAGGUUGGUACUUGUACCAACUGGAUGAGCAGCGAACGGGUGAGUAACGCGUGGGGAAUCUGCCCUUGAGCGGGGGACAACAUUUGGAAACGAAUGCUAAUACCGCAUAAAAACUUUAAACACAAGUUUUAAGUUUGAAAGAUGCAAUUGCAUCACUCAAAGAUGAUCCCGCGUUGUAUUAGCUAGUUGGUGAGGUAAAGGCUCACCAAGGCGAUGAUACAUAGCCGACCUGAGAGGGUGAUCGGCCACAUUGGGACUGAGACACGGCCCAAACUCCUACGGGAGGCAGCAGUAGGGAAUCUUCGGCAAUGGACGAAAGUCUGACCGAGCAACGCCGCGUGAGUGAAGAAGGUUUUUGGAUCGUAAAACUCUGUUGGUAGAGAAGAACGUUGGUGAGAGUGGAAAGCUCAUCAAGUGACGGUAACUACCCAGAAAGGGACGGCUAACUACGUG